CGAAAGCCUGACGGAGCAACGCCGCGUGAGGGAGGAAGGUCUUUGGAUUGUAAACCUCUUUUCUCAAGGAAGAUAAUGACGGUACUUGAGGAAUCAGCAUCGGCUAACUCCGUGCCAGCAGCCGCGGUAAUACGGGGGAUGCAAGCGUUAUCCGGAAUUAUUGGGCGUAAAGCGUCCGUAGGCGGCUAGAUAAGUCUGUUGUUAAAGCGUGCAGCUCAACUGCAUACGGGCAAUGGAAACUAUGUAGCUAGAGUGUGGUAGGGGUAGAGGGAAUUCCCGGUGUAGCGGUGAAAUGCGUAGAUAUCGGGAAGAACACCAGUGGCGAAAGCGCUCUGCUGGGCCACAACUGACGCUGAUGGACGAAAGCUAGGGGAGCG
rnacentral:rRNA from 1 species